rnacentral:rRNA from 1 species
AGGCCGUUCUCAAUGAGGCCGGCCAUCGGAAUGGGUACAAUUUAAACCCUUUAACGAGUAUCUAUGAGAGGGCAAGUCUGGUGCCAGCAGCCGCGGUAAUUCCAGCUCUCAAAGUGCAUAGAAUUAUUGCUGCGGUUAAAAAGCUCGUAGUUGGAUCUGCGCCAUAGGACGUGGUCCGCCUCCGGGUGUGCACUGCGCUCCUAGGCUUUUUGACGGUUUUCCCGUCGUAGCCUUCAUCGGUUGCGGCGGGUGGCUGUCGAGUUUACUUUGAGAAAAUCAGAGUGCUCAAUACAGGCGUAUCGUUUGAAUGAUUGUGCAUGGAAUAAUAGAAAAGGAUUUCGGUCCUCUUUUAUUGGUUUUGUGGACUGAGAUAAUGGUUAACAGGGACAAACGGGGGCAUUCGUAUCGCUGCGUGAGAGGUGAAAUUCUUGGACCGUAGCGAGACGCCCUACUGCGAAAGCAUUUGCCAAGAAUGUCUUCAUUAAUCAAGAACGAAAGUCAGAGGUUCGAAGGCGAUCAGAUACCGCCCUAGUUCUGACCGUAAACGAUGCCAACUAGCGAUCCGCCGGUGGAUUUUUAGCCCUGGUGGGUAGCUUCCCGGAAACGAAAGUCUUCCGGUUCCGGGGGAAGUAUGGUUGCAAAGCUGAAACUUAAAGGAAUUGACGGAAGGGCACCACCAGGAGUGGAGCCUGCGGCUUAAUUUGACUCAACACGGGGAAACUCACCCGGCCCGGACACCGUAAGGAUUGACAGAUUGAUAGCUCUUUCAUGAUUCGGUGGUUGGUGGUGCAUGGCCGUUCUUAGUUCGUGGAUCGAUUUGUCUGGUUUAUUCCGAUAACGAGCGAGAAUCUAGCCUACUAAAUAGUAACGGGAUUGCCUAUGUCCCGCUUGCUUCUUAGAGGGAUUUUCGGUGUUUAGCCGCACGAGAUUGAGCAAUAACAGGUCUGUGAUGCCCUUAGAUGUCCGGGGCUGCACGCGCGCUACACUGGCGAAAUCAGCGUGCUGUAUCCAUUCUCGAAAGGGAUUGGUAAACCCAUGAAAAUUUGCCGUGCUUGGGAUCGGAAAUUGCAAUUAUUUUCCGUGAACGAGGAAUUCCAAGUAAGUGCGAGUCAUCAACUCGCUCUGAUUACGUCCCUGCCCUUUGUACACACCGCCCGUCGCUGCCCGGGACUGAGCCAUUUCGAGAAGAUCAGGGACUGGUGGACUGUAGCUCUUUCGGGGGCUCGGUGCGCUGGAAACUGAU